AGAUUGAACGCUGGCGGCAGGCCUAACACAUGCAAGUCGAGCGGCAGCACGGGUACUUGUACCUGGUGGCGAGCGGCGGACGGGUGAGUAAUGCCUAGGAAUCUGCCUGGUAGUGGGGGAUAACGCUCGGAAACGGACGCUAAUACCGCAUACGUCCUACGGGAGAAAGCAGGGGACCUUCGGGCCUUGCGCUAUCAGAUGAGCCUAGGUCGGAUUAGCUAGUUGGUGAGGUAAUGGCUCACCAAGGCGACGAUCCGUAACUGGUCUGAGAGGAUGAUCAGUCACACUGGAACUGAGACACGGUCCAGACUCCUACGGGAGGCAGCAGUGGGGAAUAUUGGACAAGUGGGCGAAAGCCUGAUCCAGCCAUGCCGCGUGUGUGAAGAAAGGCUUCGGAUUAGUAAAGACAACUUUAAGUUAGGGAGGAAAGGCGAAGUUACCUAAAUAACGUAAUUCUUGUUUUGUACGUUAACCCGAACAAGAAAUAAAGACUAACCGGCUAAACCUCCUGUG
rnacentral:rRNA from 1 species